GACGAACGCUGGCGGCGGGCUUAACACAUGCAAGUCGAACGGAAAGGCCCUGCUUGUGUGGGGUGCUCGAGUGGCGAACGGGUGAGUAACACGUGAGUAACCUGCCCUUGACUGUGGGAUAACUUCAGGAAAGUGGGGCUAAUACCGGAUAGGAGCUCCUGCUGCAGGGGGGGGGUUGGAAAGUUUCGGCGGAUGGGGAUGGACGCGCGGCUUAUCAGCUUGUUGGGGGAGUAGUGGCUUACCAAGGGUUUGACGGGUAGCCGGCCUGGGAGGGUGAACGGCCACCAUGGGCCUACGAGACGGACCAGAGUCCUACGUGAGACAGCAGUGGAGAACAUUGCACAAUGGGCGGAAGCCUGAUGCAGAAAUGCUGCGAGCGUGAUGACCGCCUUCGGGUUGUAAACCGCUUUCGCCUGUGACGAAGCGUGAGUGACGGUAAUGGGUAAAGAAGCACCGGCUAACUACGUG
rnacentral:rRNA from 1 species